rnacentral:lncRNA from 1 species
GUACCGGCCUUUGACCUCUCCUUGAAUUAAUGUGAUCCGAUUCAUCUUCCCUCCAAGUUUUUUUUUUAAUUUAAUUACCCCUCCCUGCCCUGGCCCUGCCAGCUUCAGCUCCACCUCCUUGGAGGAAGCAGGCGCUUUUACAGAGCGCCGCGCGGCAGGUCCCCUUUCAGCCAAUCACAUCUGCGGAACCGCGUUCCGAGUCGUUUGAGGGUGUCUGGUAAAGCAAGCUCGGGGCGGUGUUGGAAAUCUGAAUGUCACCCGCGGUCCGGAGCAGAUAGGAUGGGCUGGGAAGGUACCCGCGAACUGCCGCCGGAAUUCGCUGGCAGCUGUGCGAGGCUCAGUGAGGAAAAAGACAAUUGUCUACAAAGAAAGAGGCUGCCAAGUGGAGACAGAAAAGCAGUUAUGAGACUGAUGAUAGAUUCCAAUUUGUUAUCGAAAGGAAGGAGGAGACCUGAACAGUACAUCCGGAGAAUCCAGCAAAGCAUACUACGGCAUGAACGUGCAAGUGGACAGAAUUAAAACACAUGCCAGAAACACUAAUGGAUUCUAAACAAGAUGCAGUUUCAUUUCCUGAGCCUAUACGUGAUGUUUUUAACUGUUCUCCAGUUAAUAUGUCUCCAUUUCCAGAAAUCUAACAGGAGAAUCUCUGACUGCUUAACAGAUCACCUAAGCUUGCGAUUUGUGCAAUCCUUUCUAGAGUAAGGGCUCCCCGGCUGCUCCCCGGCCACUGUGUACCCAAAGCAGCGGCUGAAAUAGCCCGGAGUCCAACAGCUCAGCGUCAAGCAGCUCGUGGCAAACGCAGCCGCCGGUCUUGACUGCCAUCGCCCAAGGGGUUCCUCUGGGCUCUCCCGCGAGCCAACAGCCGACCUCUCUCCAGCCUAGUCUGGGAAACUCCAGCCAACCCAGGAUCCCAUUUUGUAGUCCCGGGCAGACCCGAAACCCCUGAAAGAACUCCACUCCAGAAGACGCCAGAACAAGUUCCCACGAAUUUCAUGGGCGCCCUUCACAUGAAAACCUCAGCUCCCCUAUCCUCAAGGAACGGGGAAGGGCGCCGGGGAGGGACUUCGGUGGCCAGCUGUCCCUGGGUCGUGGGCGCUGUUUGCUCUGCGGAGCGCCAGCCCUGCACACAGCGGGUGCGGGAAGCGUUGAUGGGAGGCUGGAGGGCGGGGUGAGCGUAAACUAGGAUCUAGCCGGUUCCAGGCGUGGAGAAUCAAAUGUGGUCCUAGAUCUGUAAGUUGCGAAAAGGGGCUUUUGGGAGCGUCAGAGCUUUCUCACUCCGGUCCCCCGCCGCCUUGAGGCUGGCAGAUUUAUACCCCACAGGUGGAUGGAGACCUAAACAAAACAGUCCCGGCCGCUGCCUGCCGCUCGCCCCCCACGUCCCCCGGGCCCACCGCAAACUUCAACAAAAUAAACAACUCACCACAGGCAUUCCCUUGUCUGCAGCGCGACGCUUGCCAGCUGGGAAAAUAAGCCGCAAGCCACGCGGCCGAGGC